GACGAACGCUGGCGGCGCGCCUAACACAUGCAAGUCGAACGAGCGAGAGGGAGCUUGCUUUCUCGAGCGAGUGGCGAACGGGUGAGUAACGCGUGAGGAACCUGCCUCAAAGAGGGGGACAACAGUUGGAAACGACUGCUAAUACCGCAUAAGCCCACGGUGCCGCAUGGCACCGAGGGAAAAGGAGCCAUCCGCUUUGAGAUGGCCUCGCGUCCGAUUAGCUAGUUGGUGAGGUAAUGGCCCACCAAGGCGACGAUCGGUAGCCGGGCUGAGAGGUUGAACGGCCACAUUGGGACUGAGACACGGCCCAGACUCCUACGGGAGGCAGCAGUGGGGAAUAUUGCACAAUGGGGGAAACCCUGAUGCAGCGACGCCGCGUGGAGGAAGAAGGUCUUCGGAUUGUAAACUCCUGUUGUUGGGGAAGAUAAUGACGGUACCCAACAAGGAAGUGACGGCUAACUACGUG
rnacentral:rRNA from 1 species